rnacentral:rRNA from 1 species
UACGGAGGGCGCAAGCGUUGUUCGGAAUCACUGGGCGAAAAGAGCACGUAGGCGGAGCGGGAAGUUAGAUGUGAAAUCCCGGGGCUCAACUUCGGACCCGCAUCUAAAACUCCUAUUCUAGAGGAUGGACGUAGAAAAGGGAAUUCCACGUGUAGCGGUGAAAUGCGUAGAUAUGUGGAAGAACACCGGUGGCGAAGGCGCUUUUCUAGUGUAUUCCUGUCGCUGAGGUGCGAAAGCAAGGGGAGCAAUCAGG